rnacentral:rRNA from 1 species
UACGGAGGGUGCAAGCGUUGCUCGGAAUUAUUGGGCGUAAAGGGUAGGUAGGUGGUCUCAUUUGUCUGGGGUGAAAGCCUUGAGCUUAACUCAAGAAGUGCCCCAGAAACGGUGAGACUAGAGUUCUGGAGAGGGUCGUGGAAUUCCCGGUGUAGCGGUGAAAUGCGUAGAGAUCGGGAGGAACACCAGAGGCGAAGGCGGCGACCUGGACAGAUACUGACACUCAACUACGAAAGCUGGGUAGCAAACAGG